GACGGAGGGGGCUAGCGUUGUCGGGAAUCACUGGGCGUAAAGCGCGUGUAGGCGGUCGCGGGCGUCGGUGCUGAAAGCGCCCGGAUUAACCGGGCGGGGCGUGCCGACACGAUGCGACUGGAGGCAGGCAGAGGGCGGCGGAAUUCCGGGUUUAGCGGUGACAUGCGUAGAGCUCCGGAGGAACGCCGGUGGGGGGGCCCGCCGGCUGGGCCUGACCUGACGCUGCGCCGCCACAGCGGGGGGAGCAAUCCGG
rnacentral:rRNA from 1 species